CCUCUUUCCCUUUUCAGCAUUACCACCUAUAUCAGCCUUGCCGUCUUCGGGCGGCUAUGGCGAUAAACGGGCGAUGAAAUAAGCCUAUUGGACCCGGGGGCGGUACCCGGCGCCUCCACCAAAAACCGGUGUUCACACCGGCUUUUGAUGGGGGCGAAAUAGGAUCGACAAGGGUGUAAAGAUCGACUUUUUGCUCGGCAUUGUACCACCGUUAUCGGGCUAAACUUGUAGUUGCAAACGACAACUAUGCGGAAGCUCGUCUCGCUGCUUAAUCGCAGUGUGACACUUCAAAUCAAGCCCUUCCGGUUCGCACCGUAAGGCGGGGUUCGGAGGUACCUGGCAACAGAAACCUCCACU
rnacentral:tmRNA from 1 species